rfam:Microgenomates (Beckwithbacteria) bacterium GW2011_GWB1_47_15 TX85_C0003, whole genome shotgun sequence.
GCCACGGUGCUGGAACUGGCAGACAGGCACGCUUCAGGAGCGUGUGGGCCUUUGGCUCGUGUGAGUUCGACUCUCACCCGUGGCA